GAUGAACGCUAGCGGCAGGCCUAACACAUGCAAGUCGAGGGGCAGCACAGAAACAGCAAUGUUUUGGUGGCGACCGGCGGACGGGUGCGUAACGCGUAUGCAACCUACCUUUAACAGGGGGAUAACGGAGGGAAAUUUCCACUAAUACCCCAUAACAUCGAUCAAGGAAUCUUGAUUGGUUGAAAACUCCGGUGGUUAAAGAUGGGCAUGCGUUGUAUUAGGUAGUUGAUGAGGUAAUGGCUCACCAAGCCUACGAUACAUAGGGGGACUGAGAGGUUAGCCCCCCACACUGGUACUGAGACACGGACCAGACUCCUACGGGAGGCAGCAGUGAGGAAUACUGGUCAAUGGGGGCAACCCUGAACCAGCCAUGCCGCGUGCAGGAAGACGGCUCUAUGAGUUGUAAACUGCUUUUAAACAGGGAUAAAGCACAGUAUGUAUACUGUGUUGAAGGUACUGUAAGAAUAAGGAUCGGCUAACUCCGUGCCAGCAGCCGCAGUAA
rnacentral:rRNA from 1 species